UCAUCCGGGGAUAACUCUGGAGUAGAACGUCCACUUUCAGAAGAAUAUUCCCCUUCUUCUUCCUCGGAUAACUCGGCCGUCAAAGAUGGAAUUUCCUCAUCAACAUCUUUUUUAAAACUUGGUUCAUGUGAAGAACUCUCAGUCUCAACCUCAUUUGGCACAUUUGAAACUCCUUUAGACUUUUCUUUUUCCUUAUCCUUCUCUACGCCAACGUUGGAAUUGGCUCUUUUGGACCUGGACCUCUUCCUAUUCAUGCCAGUCUCCAUCUUGGAAAAAGACAAGGUAGUUUAGUUCCUGUUCAAAGUUUCUUUUUGCUUUUUCUGCAAAGUAGAGUACGCUUCCGUUAACAUGUAUAAGGAUUUGCAACGAAAUGAUAAUAUACCGAGUGUCAUUAAAUAAUAU